rnacentral:rRNA from 1 species
GAUGAACGCUGGCGGCGUGCCUAAUACAUGCAAGUCGAGCGAACGGACGAGAAGCUUGCCUCUCUGAUGUUAGCGGCGGACGGGUGAGUAACACGUGGAUAACCUACCUAUAAGACUGGGAUAACUUCGGGAAACCGCAGCUAAUACCGGAUAAUAUUUUGAACCGCAUGGUUCAAAAGUGAAAGACGGUCUUGCUGUCACUUAUAGAUGGAUCCGCGCUGCAUUAGCUAGUUGGUAAGGUAACGGCUUACCAAGGCAACGAUGCAUAGCCGACCUGAGAGGGUGAUCGGCCACACUGGAACUGAGACACGGUCCAGACUCCUACGGGAGGCAGCAGUAGGGAAUCUUCCGCAAUGGGCGAAAGCCUGACGGAGCAACGCCGCGUGAGUGAUGAAGGUCUUCGGAUCGUAAAACUCUGUUAUUAGGGAAGAACAUAUGUGUAAGUAACUGUGCACAUCUUGACGGUACCUAAUCAGAAAGCCACGGCUAACUACGUG